CGAGACUAAGCAACAGUUAUAAACCACCUGCUAGCACAGAAAGAAGGAACGCCAGUGUGGAAGGUGCAGGGCGAGCUGCGAGCAGCCGCUCUCCAGGCAAAUCCUGUGCCCGGCCACCUGCACCUCCUCUCCAUGGUUAAAGAUUCAGCUGUGCUGCAGGCCGGCUUCCAACCCAGGAACCUGACAGAGCAGGCUGGGCGCCUCUCCUCAACCCCAUCGAUGCCAUCCCCCCGUGAGACAGGGGACAAAGCGCUUUAGGCCAACGUGCUCCAUCCAUGAUGGGAAGAGCACCCCGGGGCCAUUUUUGGGAAGGGCUGCAGACCUUCCUGAGGCUCCUGAGCAGACGGGCUCCCAACGGAGCCAACCACACUUCCAAUCCAGCCACGGCUCCCUCCGAUCUGAUGCAGGAAUGGGUAUUAAAAUAACCAACCAAGCCACCAAAAAUACAGCCUCUGCUGUUUUCAGCGCCGAAGGGGAAGGGAAGCCGGGCUGCCAGCGGGCCCGCCGAAGCACGGCAAACCCAGGAGAGGGCAACGGGGGUUAAGCAGAGCCGGGCGGGACGGGCUGCCGCCCCCGGCCGCCCCGCACCGCCGCGGGGAGGCCCUGGCGCCGCUGCCUGCUCCAGCGAAGGGCCCCGCGGCGCCCCGGCUGCUGCCGAACCCCGGGGGGCAGCGGGCAGGUGGGUGCCUGCACCCCUGCGGCGAGCGGCAGCUGCGGGAAAGAGCCUCUGCGAGGCGGGCACCUACCUCUGGCCCGGACUCGGAGCAGGAGAGACCAGGACUGGAUCCAGUGCUGCAGAUGUGGCCUCACCAGUACUGAAGAGAGGAGAAGGAUCACCUCCCUUGGCCUGUUGGAGAUGCUCUUCUUAAUUCAUCCCUGGAGGCUGUCAGCUUGCUUUGCUGCAAGGUCACCUUGCUGGCUCAUGGUCAGCUUGUUGUCCACCAGGACCCCCAGGGCCUUUCUUGCAAAGCUGCUUUCCAACCAGUUGGCCUCAGCCUGCACUGGCACUCGGGGUUAUUCAUCUCUGGGUACAAGACUUCGCAAAUCGCUUCGUUGAACUUCAUGAGACUGCUCUUUGUGUUGUUCUUUCCAACAACAAGACCUCACCGCCUCUGCCCUCAGCUCACCUAUGAUGAGGAAGUAGAGUGUCCACGUUGUUUCCCUGAGUAUACAAAAUACAGCUAAAUGCUGGCUGUGAAAUGUCACCAGCCGGAAUCACCAUCACAUUGCCAAAUGUCCUGAGUAUCUCAAAUUUUUUCUUUGCCUUUAUCAUGUUGCCUAUUAUUUUGGGGGUAGAAAGGACCAAGAGCUUCAUGGAGCAGUCUGACAGAGCUCUUGGUGUGUUUCUUUACUUUUGCCAUUCUCAUUGGAUAGUCAUCAAUUCAUGAUACAGAUUUAUAGCCAACUGUGAAGAUUUGUUACUUUGGGCCCUACUUUGAGUCCAGACUUUCCAGUCUAUAAUGGAUGGCUCAGACAGUGCAUUAAGGACAUUGGGAGCAUAAUCCUGGUUUCUGGGGAGUCAAUAAUGAAUAUGUUUGUGUUGGAGGCAGCCUGUAUUUCCAACCCAUUUGGAAUUGGUCAGGAGUACCCAGGCCCGCUCUUUCAUCCACACUGAGAAAUUUUAGCACAUUCAUAGA